rnacentral:lncRNA from 1 species
UGUCUGCACAGGCAGGAUCUGGGGAACUUUUCAUCCUCUUCCCUUGCAGUCACAGGAAUGAAAAUGCUGAUGUGAUGCUAUUCAGAUCCUUAAGGCAAAGUAAAAUUUGGAUAGCAGCAGAAUAUUUCAGUAAUAUUUUAAUAUGUGAGAAGCUUCUUAUAAGCUACUGCGCAGCUCUGACAGAUGGUACUCUUGUGCUGCAGAUGUUUUUCUUGAGGAAAUUAUAUCUUUAAUCCCAC